UUAAAUUGAAGAGUUUGAUCAUGGCUCAGAUUGAACGCUGGCGGCAGGCCUAACACAUGCAAGUCGAACGGUAACAGGAAGCAGCUUGCUGCUUUGCUGACGAGUGGCGGACGGGUGAGUAAUGUCUGGGAAACUGCCUGAUGGAGGGGGAUAACUACUGGAAACGGUAGCUAAUACCGCAUAACGUCGCAAGACCAAAGAGGGGGACCUUCGGGCCUCUUGCCAUCGGAUGUGCCCAGAUGGGAUUAGCUAGUAGGUGGGGUAAAGGCUCACCUAGGCGACGAUCCCUAGCUGGUCUGAGAGGAUGACCAGCCACACUGGAACUGAGACACGGUCCAGACUCCUACGGGAGGCAGCAGUGGGGAAUAUUGCACAAUGGGCGCAAGCCUGAUGCAGCCAUGCCGCGUGUAUGAAGAAGGCCUUCGGGUUGUAAAGUACUUUCAGCGGGGAGGAAGGGAGUAAAGUUAAUACCUUUGCUCAUUGACGUUACCCGCAGAAGAAGCACCGGCUAACUCCGUGCCAGCAGCCGCGGUAAUACGGAGGGUGCAAGCGUUAAUCGGAAUUACUGGGCGUAAAGCGCACGCAGGCGGUUUGUUAAGUCAGAUGUGAAAUCCCCGGGCUCAACCUGGGAACUGCAUCUGAUACUGGCAAGCUUGAGUCUCGUAGAGGGGGGUAGAAUUCCAGGUGUAGCGGUGAAAUGCGUAGAGAUCUGGAGGAAUACCGGUGGCGAAGGCGGCCCCCUGGACGAAGACUGACGCUCAGGUGCGAAAGCGUGGGGAGCAAACAGGAUUAGAUACCCUGGUAGUCCACGCCGUAAACGAUGUCGACUUGGAGGUUGUGCCCUUGAGGCGUGGCUUCCGGAGCUAACGCGUUAAGUCGACCGCCUGGGGAGUACGGCCGCAAGGUUAAAACUCAAAUGAAUUGACGGGGGCCCGCACAAGCGGUGGAGCAUGUGGUUUAAUUCGAUGCAACGCGAAGAACCUUACCUGGUCUUGACAUCCACGGAAGUUUUCAGAGAUGAGAAUGUGCCUUCGGGAACCGUGAGACAGGUGCUGCAUGGCUGUCGUCAGCUCGUGUUGUGAAAUGUUGGGUUAAGUCCCGCAACGAGCGCAACCCUUAUCCUUUGUUGCCAGCGGUCCGGCCGGGAACUCAAAGGAGACUGCCAGUGAUAAACUGGAGGAAGGUGGGGAUGACGUCAAGUCAUCAUGGCCCUUACGACCAGGGCUACACACGUGCUACAAUGGCGCAUACAAAGAGAAGCGAUCUCGCGAGAGCAAGCGGACCUCAUAAAGUGCGUCGUAGUCCGGAUUGGAGUCUGCAACUCGACUCCAUGAAGUCGGAAUCGCUAGUAAUCGUGGAUCAGAAUGCCACGGUGAAUACGUUCCCGGGCCUUGUACACACCGCCCGUCACACCAUGGGAGUGGGUUGCAAAAGAAGUAGGUAGCUUAACCUUCGGGAGGGCGCUUACCACUUUGUGAUUCAUGACUGGGGUGAAGUCGUAACAAGGUAACCGUAGGGGAACCUGCGGUUGGAUCACCUCCUUACCUUAAAGAAGC
rnacentral:rRNA from 1 species